AGCAGUCGCCGCGGUAAUACGAAGGGGGCUAGCGUUGUUCGGAAUCACUGGGCGUAAAGGGUGCGUAGGCGGAUUCUUAAGUCAGGGGUGAAAUCCCGAGGCUCAACCUCGGAACUGCCUUUGAUACUGGGGAUCUUGAGUCCGGAAGAGGUGAGUGGAACUGCGAGUGUAGAGGUGAAAUUCGUAGAUAUUCGCAAGAACACCGGUGGCGAAGGCGGCUCACUGGUCCGGAACUGACGCUGAGGCACGACAGCGUUGGGAGCAAACAGGAUUAGAUACCCGCGUAGUCCCUGUCUCUUAUAC
rnacentral:rRNA from 1 species